rfam:Trichobilharzia regenti genome assembly, scaffold: TRE_scaffold0000066
AUCCAGUUGACGAGUCCCCAACAGGACGAAAUGCGCAUCCUUGAU